rnacentral:rRNA from 1 species
CCUAGUAACUGCGAGUGAAGCGGGAAAAGCUCAAAUUUAAAAUCUGGUGGCUCUGCCGCCCGAGUUGUAAUUUAGAGAAGCGUAUUCCGCGUCGGACCGUGCACAAGUCUCCUGGAAUGGAGCGUCAUAGAGGGUGAGAAUCCCGUCUUUGGCAUGGACUCCCGGUGCUUCUGUGAUGCGCUCUCGAAGAGUCGAGUUGUUUGGGAAUGCAGCUCAAAAUGGGUGGUGAACUCCAUCUAAAGCUAAAUAUUGGCGAGAGACCGAUAGCGAACAAGUACCGUGAGGGAAAGAUGAAAAGCACUUUGGAAAGAGAGUGAAACAGUACGUGAAAUUGUUGAAAGGGAAACGCUUGAAGUCAGUCGCGUCGGCCGAGACUCAGCCUUGCCUCGGCUUGGUGUACUUCUCGGGUUGACGGGUCAGCAUCAAUUUUGGCCCUCGGAUAAUGGCAAGGGAAAGGUGGCACCUUUACGGGUGUGUUAUAGUCUCCUGUCGCAUGCGAGGGGUGGGAUUGAGGAACUCAGCAUGCACCUCGGUGCCGGGGCUUCGGCCCACGUAACGUGCUUAGGAUGUUGGCGUAAUGGCUUUAAGCGACCCGUC